UCCUGCCAGUAGUCAUAUGCUUGUCUCAAAGAUUAAGCCAUGCAAGUGUAAGUAUAAUUGUUUUACGGUGAAACUGCGAAUGGCUCAUUAAAUCAGUUAUAGUUUAUUUGAUGCUAUAGGUCGAAAGGCCACUACAUGGAUAUCUGUAGUAACAUAGAGCUAAUACAUGCAAUAUAGUCUGACUUUUUGGAAGGACUAGCACUUAUUAGAUAUUAAACCAGUCCCAGCAAUGGGUUUUAUGGUGAUUCAUAGUAACUGAACAAAUCACAUGGUCUUGUACCGGUGAUGUUUCAUUCAAAUUUCUGCCCUAUCAACUAGAUGGUAGUAUAUAGGACUACCAUGGUUGUAACGGGUAACGGAGGAUUAGGGUUUGAUUCCGGAGAAGGAGCAUGAGAAACGGCUACUAUUUCUUAAGGAAAGCAGCAGGCGCGCAAAUUA
rnacentral:rRNA from 1 species